AUGAACGCUGGCGGCGUGCCUAAUACAUGCCAGUCGAGCGAACGGACGAGAAGCUUGCUUCUCUGAUGUUAGCGGCGGACGGGUGAGUAACACGUGGAUAACCUACCUAUAAGACUGGGAUAACUUCGGGAAACCGGAGCUAAUACCGGAUAAUAUUUUGAACCGCAUGGUUCAAAAGUGAAAGACGGUCUUGCUGUCACUUAUAGAUGGAUCCGCGCUGCAUUAGCUAGUUGGUAAGGUAACGGCUUACCAAGGCAACGAUGCAUAGCCGACCUGAGAGGGUGAUCGGCCACACUGGAACUGAGACACGGUCCAGACUCCUACGGGAGGCAGCAGUAGGGAAUCUUCCGCAAUGGGCGAAAGCCUGACGGAGCAACGCCGCGUGAGUGAUGAAGGUCUUCGGAUCGUAAAACUCUGUUAUUAGGGAAGUACAUAUGUGUAAGUAACUGUGCACAUCUUGACGGUACCUAAUCAGAAAGCCACGGCUAACUACGUG
rnacentral:rRNA from 1 species